GAAAAGACCCAGCUGGAGCUGGAAUGUGUACCAAAUGCCAGCACCCAGUUGUGUGGUCCAAGCAGCCAUAAUUUAAGGACCCAGGCUUUUUCAAGCCCUGAAUUGCCUCCUCCCUUCCCGAGCACCAGUGAAGUCCAGCUCUGUGGCAGCCUGUCUCUACCACCAUGUGAGAAAGUGGGAGAACAUUGGACUUGGAACAUGAGAGCCACUUCACCAUGAACCACGCACAGAACAUCCACAUCAACACGGAACUU